rfam:Zygosaccharomyces bailii CLIB 213 genomic, scaffold02
GGUUGUUUGGCCGAGCGGUCUAAGGCGCCUGAUUCAAGAGUUCGACUCUUANUUGCGGUUAAUACGCAGCGAACACUCAGGUAUCGUAAGAUGCGUGAGUUCGAAUCUCACAGCAANGG